rnacentral:snRNA from 1 species
GGAUGUAACGGUGAUCUGGCUGCGACAGCUGUCACUCCAUUGAUCGCCAGGGUUGAUUUGGCUGAUCUGGCUGGCUAGGCGGGUGUCCCCUUCCUCCCUCACUGCUCCAUGUGUGUCCCUCCCAAAGCUGCGCACUCAGUCAAAGAGGAUGACCAUCCCCCACAGAGGAGGACCGGUCUUCGAUCAAGGGUAUACGAGUAGCUGCGCUCCCCUGCUAGAACCUCCAAACUCUCAAGGUCCAUUUGUAGGAGAAUGUAGGGUAGUCAAGCUUCCAAGACUCCAGACACAUCCAAAUGAGGGGCUGCAUGCGGCAGUCUGCCUUUCUAA